AAUAGCGUCAAAGCUUAAUUGUUACUCUGCCCAAUUACCUAAUUAUUAUCUUAAUCCUCCACCAAUACUGAGUAAUUCUAUACUACUAUAGAAAAUUUUAUGUUAAAACUAGUAACAAGAAGAAGACCUUCUCUUUAGUGUAAAUGUAAAUCAGAAAGGACAAACCACUGAUAAUUAACGUCGCUGAGGCCAAAGCAGAAACUCAUCAAGAAAAAUCUACUUUUGUUUACGUUAACCUAACACAAGAGCACUUCAAGAAAGAUUAAAAGAAAAAGAAGGAACUCGGCAAAUAUUAACCUCGCCUGUUUACCAAAAACAUCGCCUCUUGACUUUUAUAAGAGGUCCAGCCUGCCCAGUGACCAUGUUCAACGGCCGCGGUAUCCUAACCGUGCGAAGGUAGCGUAAUCACUUGUUCUUUAAAUGCGGACUAGUAUGAAUGGCACCACGAAGGUUAUACUGUCUCCUUUUUCUAAUCAGUGAAACUAAUCUCCCCGUGAAGAAGCGAGGAUACAUCUAUAAGACGAGAAGACCCUAUGGAGCUUUAAACAAUACAGCAAUUACCUAUUAAAUAUAAAGUUCCUGAACAUUAACACUUUUAAGUAAUAUGACUGCAAGUUUUUGGUUGGGGUGACCACGGAGCAUAACACAACCUCCAUGCUGAAAGAAUUUUUUCUNAAGCUGAGAAUAACCAAUCUAAGCAUCAAUAUAUUGACAUCCAUUGACCCAAUUCAUUUGACCAACGAACCAAGUUACCCUAGGGAUAACAGCGCAAUCCACUUCAAGAGCUCCUAUCGACAAGUGGGUUUACGACCUCGAUGUUGGAUCAGGGUAUCCCAGUGGUGCAGCCGCUAC
rnacentral:rRNA from 1 species